rnacentral:snoRNA from 1 species
UUGCGAUGAAAUGAAGAAUUUCCAUUCAUUCGCGGUUUCCACCAGAAGGAGUUUCUUUGAACUCGAAGAUGGCUUUUUGACCUUCCCUUGGAUUCUUGAGUAA